rnacentral:rRNA from 1 species
GGUCCCGCCUGCCCUGUGACUAUUUGUUUAACGGCCGCGGUAUUUUGACCGUGCGAAGGUAGCGCAAUCACUUGUCUUUUAAAUGAAGACCCGUAUGAAUGGCAUAACGAGGGCUUAGCUGUCUCCUCUUUCCAGUCAAUGAAGUUGAUCUUCCCGUGCAGAAGCGGGAAUAUACUCAUAAGACGAGAAGACCCUAUGGAGCUUUAGACACAAAAGCAACCCACGUUAAACACCCCAAAUAAGGGACUAAACCAAGGGGGCCCUGCCCUAAUGUCUUUGGUUGGGGCGACCGCGGGGAAUUAAAGAACCCCCACGUGGAAUGGGAACACUUUUCCUACAACUAAGAGCUACAGCUCUAGAAAACAGAAUUUCUGACCAACAAGAUCCGGCAAUGCCGAUCAACGGACCGAGUUACCCUAGGGAUAACAGCGCAAUCCUCUUUUAGAGCCCAUAUCGACGAGGGGGUUUACGACCUCGAUGUUGGAUCAGGACAUCCUAAUGGUGCAGCCGCUAUUAAGGGUUCGUUUGUUCAACGAUUAAAGUCCUACGU